rnacentral:ncRNA from 1 species
GAAAGCCGUAUACUCUGAGAGGAGUACGUACGGUUUGGAGGGGAGUUCUUGGAAACCUACUUAGGAAACUAAGCAAGGCGCUGGGGUCUUACCCUAC